AUUGAACGCUGGCGGCAGGCCUAACACAUGCAAGUCGAGCGGAUGAAGGGAGCUUGCUCCUGGAUUCAGCGGCGGACGGGUGAGUAAUGCCUAGGAAUCUGCCUGGUAGUGGGGGAUAACGUCCGGAAACGGGCGCUAAUACCGCAUACGUCCUGAGGGAGAAAGUGGGGGAUCUUCGGACCUCACGCUAUCAGAUGAGCCUAGGUCGGAUUAGCUAGUUGGUGGGGUAAAGGCCUACCAAGGCGACGAUCCGUAACUGGUCUGAGAGGAUGAUCAGUCACACUGGAACUGUAACACGGUCCGGACUCCUACGGGAGGCAGCAGUGGGGAAUAUUGGACAAUGGGCGAAAGCCUGAUCCAGCCAUGCCGCGUGUGUGAAGAAGGUCUUCCGAUUGUAAAGCACUUUAAGUUGGGAGUAAGGGCAGUAAGUUAAUACCUUGCUGUUUUGACGUUCCCAACAGAAUAAGCACCGGCUAACUUCGUG
rnacentral:rRNA from 1 species